GCCUCUGUGGAUCAGGGGUAGAUCGCCUCGACCUCUUAAGGAAGUCUUUGAAAAUUAACGAGGAGAGGUGGGUUCGAGUCCCACCAGAGACA